rnacentral:rRNA from 1 species
GUGCGAAAGCAUGGGGAGCAAACAGGAUUAGAUACCCCGGUAGUCCAUGCCGUAAACGAUGUCUACUAGCCGUUGGGGCCUUUGAGGCUUUAGUGGCGCAGCUAACGCGAUUAAGUAGACCGCCUGGGGAGUACGGUCGCAAGACUAAAACUCAAAUGAAUUGACGGGGGCCCGCACAAGCGGUGGAGCAUGUGGUUUAAUUCGAUGCAACGCGAAGAACCUUACCUGGUCUUGACAUAGUAAGAACUUUCCAGAGAUGGAUUGGUGCCUUCGGGAACUUACAUACAGGUGCUGCAUGGCUGCCGUCAGCUCGUGUCGUGAGAUGUUGGGUUAAGUCCCGCAACGAGCGCAACCCUUUUCCUUAUUUGCCAGCGGGUUAAGCCGGGAACUUUAAGGAUACUGCCAGUGACAAACUGGAGGAAGGCGGGGACGACGUCAAGUCAUCACGGCCCUUACGACCAGGGCUACACACGUGCUACAAUGGUCGGUACAAAGGGUUGCUACCUCGCGAGAGGAUGCUAAUCUCAAAAAGCCGAUCGUAGUCCGGAUUGGAGUCUGCAACUCGACUCCAUGAAGUCGGAAUCGCUAGUAAUCGCGGAUCAGAAUGCCGCGGUGAAUACGUUCCCGGGCCUUGUACACACCGCCCGUCACACCAUGGGAGUUUGUUGCACCAGAAGUAGGUAGUCUAACCGCAAGGAGGACGCUUACCACGGUGUGGCAGAUGACUGGGGUGAAGUCGUAACAAGGUA